rnacentral:rRNA from 1 species
GACGAACGCUGGCGGCGUGCUUAACACAUGCAAGUCGAACGGAAAGGCCCUGCUUUUGUGGGGUGCUCGAGUGGCGAACGGGUGAGUAACACGUGAGUGACCUGCCCUUGACUUUGGGGUAACUUCAGGAAACUGGGGCUAAUACCGGAUAGGAGCUCCUGCUGCAUGGUGGGGGUUGGAAAGUUUCGGCGGGUGGGGAUGGACUCGCGGCUUAUCAGCUUGUUGGUGGGGUAGUGGCUUACCAAGGCUUUGACGGGUAGCCGGCCUGAGAGGGUGACCGGCCACAUUGGGACUGAGAUACGGCCCAGACUCCUACGGGAGGCAGCAGUGGGGAAUAUUGCACAAUGGGCGGAAGCCUGAUGCAGCAACGCCGCGUGCGGGAUGACGGCCUUCGGGUUGUAAACCGCUUUCGCCUGUGACGAAGCGUGAGUGACGGUAAUGGGUAAAGAAGCACCGGCUAACUACGUG